rnacentral:rRNA from 1 species
AUUGAACGCUGGCGGCAGGCUUAACACAUGCAAGUCGAGCGAGCGGCGGCCGGGUGAGUAAUGUCUGGGAAACUGCCUGAUGGAGGGGUAUAACUACUGGAAACGGUAGCUAAUACCACAUACCAUCAGAUGUGCCCAGAUGGGAUUAGAUAGUGGGUGGGGUAAUGGCUCACCUUGGCGACGAUCCCUAGCUGGUCUGAGAGGAUGACCAGCCACACUGGAACUGAGACACGGUCCAGACUCCUACGGGAGGCAGCAGUGGGGAAUAUUGCACAAUGGGCGCAAGCCUGAUGCAGCCAUGCCGCGUGUGUGAAGAAGGCCUUCGGGUUGUAAAGCACUUUCAGCGAGGAGGCGUUACUCGCAGAAGAAGCACCGGCUAACUCCGUGCCAGCAGCCGCGGUAAUUC